AUCGAAUUUUAUGUGAAACGGAACGUCAGUCAAUAUUGGCUGUUUUCGCCUGAACGGUGCUCUCAAUGUUUUUCAACAGCAUAAGUUCCGCCUUUUUGGAGAUGACAAUUUAGGCGGGAAUUUUCAAGGAUCAUGUUACGCUGCUCUGACUAACACACAUGUGCAGACAUUUUUACCUCCACACAUGAGGGAAGCAACCAUAACAGAGUCCUCCUCCCAUUGACUGGAAACAACUCUACUACAUUUAACUUAGACCGAAAGUCGAGAAUGAAAUCGAAGUGAAACGUAAACAUAUCCAUAAAUAUAAUAAAACACCUGAACAAAUUUAUAAGACGACGAAUGUAGUUGAAAAAAAAACAGUUUUUUCACAAAACACAAAAUCAUUCUUUUCAAAUAUAUGUCGAUAGUCUUAGAAA